rnacentral:snRNA from 1 species
GUGCUUACUCCAGCAGCACAUAUACUAAAAUUAGAAUGAUAUAGGGAAGAUUAGCAUGGCCCCUAGGCAAGGAUGACACAGAAAUUCAUGGAGUGUUCCAUAUUUUU